rnacentral:rRNA from 1 species
AGAGUUUGAUCCUGGCUCAGAUUGAACGCUGGCGGCAUGCCUAACACAUGCAAGUCGAACGGCAGCAUGAUGUGUAGCAAUACACAUUGAUGGCGAGUGGCGGACGGGUGAGUAAUACGUAGGAACUUGCCUUGGAGAGCGGGACAACUCGGGGAAACUCGGGCUAAUACUGCAUGAUAUCGAGAGAUCAAAGGUAGGGGAUCUUCGGACCUUACGCUCUAAGAGAGGCUUACGUCGGAUUAGCUAGUUGGUAGGGUAAAGGCCUACCAAGGCGACGAUCCGUAGCUGGUCUAAGAGGACGAUCAGCCACACUGGGACUGAGACACGGCCCAGACUCCUACGGGAGGCAGCAGUGGGGAAUUUUGGACAAUGGGGGCAACCCUGAUCCAGCAAUGCCGCGUGUGUGAAGAAGGCCUGCGGGUUGUAAAGCACUUUAGGUGGGGAGGAACGAUUGGUUGUUGAAUAAACAACUGAAGUGACGUUACCCACAGAAUAAGCACCGGCUAACUCUGUGCCAGCAGCCGCGGUAAUACAGAGGGUGCAAGCGUUAAUCGGAAUUACUGGGCGUAAAGCGCAUGUAGGUGGUUUAUUAAGUUUGAUGUGAAAGCCCCGGGCUUAACCUGGGAAUGGCAUUGGAAACUGAUAGACUUGAGUCAGAUAGAGGGCAGUGGAAUUUCCGGUGUAGCGGUGAAAUGCGUAGAGAUCGGAAAGAACAUCAGUGGCGAAGGCGUCUGCCUGGGUCCUGACUGACACUAAAGUGCGAAAGCGUGGGGAGCAAACAGGAUUAGAUACCCCCGUAGUCC